rnacentral:rRNA from 1 species
UACGGGGGGGGCAAGCGUUGUUCGGAAUUACUGGGCGUAAAGGGUUCGUAGGUGGCUUGCUAAGUCAGACGUGAAAUCCCUCGGCUUAACCGGGGAACUGCAUCUGAUACUGGAUGGCUUGAGUUCGGGAGAGGGAUGCGGAAUUCCAGGUGUAGCGGUGAAAUGCGUAGAUAUCUGGAGGAACACCGGUGGCGAAGGCGGCAUCCUGGACCGACACUGACGCUGAGGAGCGAAAGCCAGGGGAGCAAACGGG